ACUUGCUUUCUUUGCUGGCGACCGGCGCACGGGUGAGUAACACGUAUCCAACCUGCCCUUUACUCGGGGAUAGCCUUUCGAAAGAAAGAUUAAUACCCGAUAGCAUAAUGAUUCCGCAUGGUUUCAUUAUUAAAGGAUUCCGGUAAAGGAUGGGGAUGCGUUCCAUUAGGUUGUUGGUGGGGUAACGGCCCACCAAGCCUUCGAUGGAUAGGGGUUCUGAAAGGAAGGUCCCCCACAUUGGAACUGAGACACGGUCCAA
rnacentral:rRNA from 1 species